GUAGGUGAACCUGCGGAAGGAUCAUUACAGAGUGAUUGGAGGGGGGAUGGGGGUGGAUGAGUUGAAAUGGGUGGGGGGAGAGAGGGAGUGGGAGUGAGAGAGGGAGGGAGAGAGGGAGGAGAGAGGGAAGAGAGAGAGGGAGAGAGAUUGUCAUUGACAUUUUCACUCUUUUUUCUUCUUUCUUUCCUCUUUUCUCUUUCCCCUCUCACUCCCUCCCUCACUCUCACUUUAGCAACAUUGGGCCAAUUAUAUAUCUCUCUAUACAACUUAUAACAAUGGAUCUCUGGGCUCUU
rnacentral:misc_RNA from 1 species